GCGUUGUCCGGAAUUAUUGGGCGUAAAGCGCGCGCAGGCGGUUCCUUAAGUCUGAUGUGAAAUCUCGCGGCUCAACCGAGAGCGGCCAUUGGAAACUGGGGAACUUGAGUGCAGGAGAGGGGAGCGGAAUUCCACGUGUAGCGGUGAAAUGCGUAGAGAUGUGGAGGAACACCAGUGGCGAAGGCGGCUCUCUGGCCUGUAACUGACGCUGAGGCGCGAAAGCGUG
rnacentral:rRNA from 1 species